rnacentral:tRNA from 1 species
GGAGGGAUGCGUGAAUGGUUAAACGAACAGAUUGCUAAUCUGUGGGCCUCUAAAAGGGCCCUGUGGGUUCGAGUCCCACUCCCUCCG